AGAGUUUGAUCAUGGCUCAGGACGAACGCUGGCGGCGUGCCUAAUACAUGCAAGUCGAACGGACUUUCCCCUUCGGGGGAAGGUUAGUGGCGGACGGGUGAGUAACACGUAGGCAACCUGCCCCCAAGAUCGGGAUAACAUUCGGAAACGAAUGCUAAGACCGGAUAAACACUUCUCUCGCAUGAGAGGAAUGGGAAACACGGUGUAAGCUGUGGCUUGGGGAUGGGCCUGCGGCGCAUUAGCUAGUUGGUGGGGUAAAGGCUCACCAAGGCGACGAUGCGUAGCCGACCUGAGAGGGUGAACGGCCACACUGGGACUGAGACACGGCCCAGACUCCUACGGGAGGCAGCAGUAGGGAAUCUUCCACAAUGGGCGCAAGCCUGAUGGAGCAACGCCGCGUGAGUGAGGAAGGCUUUCGGGUCGUAAAGCUCUGUUGCCAGGGAAGAAUAAGGGUGUGUUAACUGCACAUUCGAUGACGGUACCUGAGAAGAAAGCCCCGGCUAACUACGUGCCAGCAGCCGCGGUAAUACGUAGGGGGCAAGCGUUGUCCGGAAUUAUUGGGCGUAAAGCGCGCGCAGGCGGUUCUUUAAGUCUGGUGUCUAAGUGCGGGGCUCAACCCCGUGAUGCACUGGGAACUGGGAGAACUUGAGUGCAGAAGAGGAGAGCGGAAUUCCACGUGUAGCGGUGAAAUGCGUAGAGAUGUGGAGGAACACCAGUGGCGAAGGCGGCUCUCUGGACUGUAACUGACGCUGAGGCGCGAAAGCGUGGGGAGCAAACAGGAUUAGAUACCCUAGUAGUCC
rnacentral:rRNA from 1 species